rnacentral:rRNA from 1 species
GACAGAGGUGCCGAGCGUUAGGCGGAAUCACUGGGCUUAAAGCGUGUGUAGGCGGACCGUUAAGUACCUUGUGAAAUCCCACGGCUCAACCGUGGAACGGCUGGGUAUACUGGCGGUCUUGGGCAACCCAGGGGCUGUCGGAACAAGCGGUGGAGCGGUGAAAUGCGUAGAUAUCGCUUGGAACGCCGGCGGUGAAAACGGACAGCUGGGGGUUUGCCGACGCUGAGACGACGAAAGCCAGGGGAG